GUGGCGGACGGGUGAGUAACGCGUGAGAAUCUACCAUCAGGUUCGGGACAACAGUUGGAAACGACUGCUAAUACCGAAUAAACCGAAAGGGGAAAGAUUAAUUGCCUGAUGAUGAGCUCGCGUCUGAUUAGCUAGUUGGUGGGGUAAAGGCUUACCAAGGCGGCGAUCAGUAACUGGUCUGAGAGGAUGACCAGUCACACUGGGACUGAGACACGGCCCAGACUCCUACGGGAGGCAGCAGUGGGGAAUUUUCCGCAAUGGGCGAAAGCCUGACGGAGCAAUACCGCGUGAGGGAGGAAGGCUCUUGGGUUGUAAACCUCUUUUCUCAGGGAAGAACAAAAUGACGGUACCUGAGGAAUCAGCAUCGGCUAACUCCGUGCCAGCAGCCGCGGUAAUACAGAGGAUGCAAGCGUUAUCCGGAAUGAUCGGGCGUAAAGCGUCCGCAGGUGGCUAUGCAAGUCUGCUGUCAAAGCCUGGGGCUUAACCCUAGAGAGGCAGUGGAAACUGAAUGGCUAGAGUACGGUAGGGGUAGAGGGAAUUCCCGGUGUAGCGGUGAAAUGCGUAGAGAUCGGGAAGAACACCAGUGGCGAAAGCGCUCUGCUAGGCCGAAACUGACACUCAUGGACGAAAGCUAGGGGAGCGAAUGGGAUUAGAUACCCCAGUAGUCCUAGCUGUAAACGAUGGAUACUAGGCGUUGCUUGUAUCGACCCAAGCAGUGCCGUAGCUAACGCGUUAAGUAUCCCGCCUGGGG
rnacentral:rRNA from 1 species